AUAAAAAAGAAGCAGCAAGAUGUGGUUCGAUUUCUGGAAGCCAACAAGAUAGAGUUUGAAGAGGUGGACAUCACAAUGUCAGAAGAACAGAGGCAGUGGAUGUACAAAAAUGUCCCUCCAGAAAAGAAACCUGCUCAGGGAAACCCCCUGCCCCCUCAGAUAUUUAAUGACGACCGAUACUGUGGAGAUUAUGACAGUUUUUUUGAAUCAAAAGAAAGCAACACAGUUUUUUCAUUCUUAGGCUUGAAACCAAGGUUGGCAUCAGAGGCAGAACCUUAG